CUUUUUGACGUCAGGUUACGUCAUUUUCCUGGGAGGAGCGUGCGUGACACAUCAAAACUUGAUAAAAACACACAGCUCAGCGGCUCACAAACAAGCAGUGGUGGUCAGGGAUCCGUGCGGUCAGAAGGCUGUCAAAAAGACACAAAAACAUCGGAAUUAUUACAAAAUAUCAUCAUUGCCUCCAACUAUAACCCUACAGAGCGACACGAGAACGGGAUUUGGUUGUUGAGAUUUUACUACUUUCGGCUGUCAAGAUAUUUUUAUGUGAUGGAGCUGCCACAUUUAGGAGAGCACUGCUCUGAGAACACCUGCAAACGUUUAGACUUUCUUCCUAUGAAAUGUGACGCCUGUCAAGAGAUUUUCUGCAAAGACCACAUCACCUAUGCAACUCACAAAUGCAUGUCUGCCUACAAAAAGGACAUCCAGGUCCCAGUAUGUCCUUUGUGCAACAUCCCCAUCCCCAUAAAGAGAGGAGAGAUGCCCGACAUUAAAGUCGGCGAACACAUUGAUCGGGACUGCAAAUCGGACCCUGCGCAGAGAAAGAGAAAGAUUUUCACCAAUAAAUGUUCUAAAGGAGGUUGUAAGCAGAAGGAAAUGAUCCGAGUGACUUGUGACCAGUGUCAUUUAAACUACUGUCUUAAGCACCGACACCCUUUAGAUCAUGAAUGUAAGACUAGUGGGGCACCUCCGUCUAAAUCAGGAAAUGCUGCAUUAAUGAGAGCCCAAGCUGCUUCCUCCAGCUCCACCUCUGGUUCUAGGUCUAGCUCCUCAAGUUCUGGAAGCUCUAGACCCUUUUCUAAUGGUGUCAGUGCGAACAACAGAGGCCAAAGCUCUGGGACUACCCCUCGGAUUCCUACUUCCGUCUCUGCACAGAGUGUAAUGCCACCAUCGGUAUCAUUCCAGGCCGGAUUGACGGAGGAUCAGGCUUUACAAAGGGCUCUGGAGAUGUCCUUGGCUGAAACGAGGCCGACAGUUCAGCCGGCUCUAACCUUGAAAUAGUAGUUUCCUAGCUGAGGAACUGAGGUUUUACAGCAGGAAGGGGUGAAAGCAGAACAUUAAAGCAUCAACUAAACAUUAAGGCAUCAACCAAGUCAAAGUUCCUCAGGAGCAGGAGGACCAAGCUCUGGCUCAGGCCCUCGCUGCCAGUGAAGAAGAGUACAGACGCCAGCAGCAGAGACAACAGGUACCCGGAAAGCUUAGGCGCCAAUAGCAUGCUUACAGGAACACAUGUGAGGGAGUCCAAACCGUCCAACUGCAGCCUUUCUUAAUGUCUGAGCAGCACUUAGACUCAAGCUGAGCUUAUUAUCUAUUAGAACCUGCACAUCUGGGAUACCGACAUCCAGGAUCAAUGAUUGUUAAUGAAGAACUCCUCUUGGAAGUUGCUGAGAUAUUACCGCCUUCUACAAUAUAAGCACAUACUUUCCGAGCAGGAUCCGUCAUUUUUACUAAUGCUUUGCUUUGUAAAUAUUUUAUAUGCCAACCAUGAUGAACCCAUUAUAUUACCAUAUAUGAUUAUUGAAUAAAUGAUUUCAAAAAUG